GGAUUGUAUGUCUUUGUCUGCCCUGUGAUGGACUGGCAGCCUGUCCAGGGUGUUUCUUGCCUUCUACCCAAUGACCGCUGGAAUAGGCUCCAGCCCCACCCCCGCAACUCAGUAUUACCAGUAGAUGAGCAAAGCAGUCCAGUAUGCAUAAAACCUUGACUGCACUCUGCAAGAAGAUAAACUCCAAGAGGGUCGUGACCACUGCUUUAAGAGGUCCACUGCCAGUGACUGAGCCACCAGCAAGCGCCGAGCCUCCAGGGACAAUUCUGAUUGGAUGGUGAUGAAGGGAACCUCAGACAGUCGCUCUGAUUCCUCAUCCCUGGCGUGAUUCACCUGGCCGUUUUUGGUUUCUUCACAAACACCACCUUCUUUGGCAUCUUUCCUCCAUGCCAAUAGCAUGGCGAAGCUACUCCGCUUCUCUGAAUGGUCAGAAACCCCAAGGGACUGGCUGCGCUGCAGGACGGACUGCCGCCGGGUGUUCAGCAGU